rnacentral:RNase_P_RNA from 1 species
UCGGUAUGCCGUCUUAUCGCUCUUCGGAUAACUGAAGGGAGGAAAGUCCGGACAAUACAGAGUACUGCUCUGUGGAAAGCACAGAUAGGCGUAAGUUUAUGGUUGGCGUAACAGAAAAUAACCGUCCGCCCGUCCGCGGAUAAGGGUGAAAAGGUGGGGUAAGAGCCUACCGGCGUCGGUAGCGAUACCGGCGGCCGUACGCACCGGCAGAUUGCAAGGCCAUGUAAACCGGCGUUUGAGGGUUGCUCGCCCGAUGCCGGAGGGUAGGCUGCAUAGAUAAAUGAUAAGACCAGACAGAAUCCGGCUUACAGGCAUACCGAUUUU